rnacentral:rRNA from 1 species
UACGUAGGGACCAAGCGUUGUUCGGAUUUACUGGGCGUAAAGGGCGCGUAGGCGGCCACCGCAAGUCGACUGUGAAAUCUCUGGGCUUAACCCAGAAAGGUCAGCCGAUACUGCGGGGCUAGAGUGCAGAAGGGGCAACUGGAAUUCUCGGUGUAGCGGUGAAAUGCGUAGAUAUCGGGAGGAACACCUGUGGCGAAAGCGGCUCACUGGACCAUAACUGACGCUGAUGCGCGAAAGCUAGGGGAGCAAACAGG